rnacentral:rRNA from 1 species
CGCGGCCUAUCAGCUUGUUGGUGGGGUAAUGGCCUACCAAGGCGACGACGGGUAGCCGGCCUGAGAGGGCGACCGGCCACACUGGGACUGAGACACGGCCCAGACUCCUACGGGAGGCAGCAGUGGGGAAUAUUGCACAAUGGGCGAAAGCCUGACGCAGCGACGCCGCGUGAGGGAUGACGGCCUUCGGGUUGUAAACCUCUUUCAGUAGGGACGAAGCGCAAGUGACGGUACCUACAGAAGAAGCACCGGCCAACUACGUGCCAGCAGCCGCGGUAAUACGUAGGGUGCAAGCGUUGUCCGGAAUUAUUGGGCGUAAAGAGCUCGUAGGCGGUCUGUCGCGUCGGCUGUGAAAACCCGAGGCUCAACCUCGGGCCUGCAGUCGAUACGGGCAGACUGGAGUACUGCAGGGGAGACUGGAAUUCCUGGUGUAGCGGUGAAAUGCGCAGAUAUCAGGAGGAACACCGGUGGCGAAGGCGGGUCUCUGGGCAGUUACUGACGCUGAGGAGCGAAAGCGUGGGGAGCGAACAGGAUUAGAUACCCUGGUAGUCCACGCCGUAAACGUUGGGCGCUAGGUGUGGGGGCCAUUCCACGGUCUCCGUGCCGCAGCUAACGCAUUAAGCGCCCCGCCUGGGGAGUACGG